CGUCAGCCAGAGCGCGGCAGAAGCGACGCGCGAUGUCGAGAUCGCGCUGAACCGUACCCUGCGUCAGCUGUUCUCACAGCCGCGCCACCAUCGCCGCACGCCGCACGAGCUUGCUGCAGAUCUUCAGGUUCCCCACGGACGAGGCGCUGGACCAAGCGCGCGCUGGCGAGAUCUUCGAGCGCGCCCUGGAGCUGGUCAAGCGGCUGGUGGAGUCCGGAUCCCGUUUCAACCUCACGACAUACUCUUACUCGGACCUGCUGUCGCCGGGCCAGAUGGAGCGGCUGCGCGACCUCUCCGGC